rnacentral:rRNA from 1 species
AGUGAACGCUGGCGGCGUGCCUAAUACAUGCAAGUCGAACGGAGAGGCGCACGGGUGAGUAAUAUAUAGCUAAUCCGCCCCUUGCUGGAGGACAACAGUUAGAAAUGACUGCUAAUACCCCAUAGCAAGGGAUGAGACUAUAUCGUAUCAGCUAGUCGGGGGGGUAAAGGCCUACCGAGGUGAUGACGAGCAACUGGUCUGAGAGGAUGAUCAUUAAACUUGUACCGGAGACACGGGCCGAACACCUACGGGAGGCAGCGGUAGCGAAUAGUGCGCAAUGGGGGAGACCCUGACGCAGCAUCGCCGCGUGGAGUAUGUCACUUGUCGAGGCGUAUACUCCGUUUGUUAGGGAAGCGUUACCUAACGAAUAAGCACCGGCUAACUCCGUGCCAGCAGCCGCGGUAAUAC